GAGCAGUUAAACUGCCUAACCUGAAGGGCGUGAAGUUUCGUGAAGUGUGAAGGACGUGAAGUUCGUGAAGUGCGAGUGGUGUUGUUCUCUCUGGUUCAAAUUUGAGCGCAUGCGAGAGAGAGAGAGAGAGAGAGAGAGAGUUUGUUGUGUUGG